AUUGAACGCUGGCGGCAGGCUUAACACAUGCAAGUCGAGCGGAGAUGAGGUGCUUGCACCUUAUCUUAGCGGCGGACGGGUGAGUAAUGCUUAGGAAUCUGCCUAUUAGUGGGGGACCACAUUCCGAAAGGAAUGCUAAUACCGCAUACGGCCUACGGGAGAAAGCAGGGGAUCUUCGGACAUUGCGCUAAUAGAUGACCCUAAGUCGGAUUAGCUAGUUGGUGGGGUAAAGGCCUACCAAGGCGACGAUCUGUAGCGGGUCCGAGAGGAUGAUCCGCCACACUGGGACUGAGACACGGCCCAGACUCCUACGGGAGGCAGCAGUGGGGAAUAUUGGACAAUGGGGGGAACCCUGAUCCAGCCAUGCCGCGUGUGUGAAGAAGGCCUUAUGGUUGUAAAGCACUUUAAGCGAGGAGGAGGCUACUGAGACUAAUACUCUUGGAUAGUGGACGUUACUCGCAGAAUAAGCACCGGCUAACUCUGUGCCAGCCGCCGCGGUAACAC
rnacentral:rRNA from 1 species